rnacentral:rRNA from 1 species
AUACGGAGGGUGCGAGCGUUAUCCGGAAUUACUGGGUUUAAAGGGUGCGUAGGCGGAUGAUUAAGUCUAAGGUGAAAGUUUGUCGCUUAACGAUAAAAUUGCCUUGGAUACUGGUUAUCUUGAAUAAGGAUGAGGAUGGCGGAAUGUGGCAUGUAGCGGUGAAAUGCAUAGAUAUGCCAUAGAACACCAAUUGCGAAGGCAGCUAUCUGGUCUUUUAUUGACGCUGAGGCACGAAAGCGUGGGGAUCGAACAGGAUUAGAUACCCUGGUAGUCCACGCCCUAAACGAUGCUAACUCGAUGUUUGGUUUUUAAAAUUGAGCAUCCAAGCGAAAGCGUUAAGUUAGCCACCUGGGGAGUACGACCGCAAGGUUGAA